rnacentral:rRNA from 1 species
CCCUUGCACUCACCGCCCCGUCACAUCACCCGAGUCUGGUGCUCCCGAAGUCGCUGGCCGAACCCGUAAGGGACGGAGGCGCCGAAGGAGUGCCCGGUGAGGGGGGUG